ensembl:snRNA U6 U6 spliceosomal RNA
GUGCUCACUUCAGCAGCACAUAAACUAAAUUUGGAACAAUACAGGGAAGAUUAACAUGGCCCCUGUGCAAGAAGGACAUGAAAUUCAUGAAGUAUUCCAUAUUUUU